rnacentral:rRNA from 1 species
AGCGAACGCUGGCGGUAGGCUUAACACAUGCAAGUCGAACGGCAGCACACUAAUAGCUUGCUCUUACGGGUGGCGAGUGGCGGACGGGUGAGGAAUAUAUCGGAAUCUACUCUUUGGGGGGGGUUCACGUAGGUAAACCUACUCUAAUACCGCAUACGACCUACGGGUGAAAGGAUGGGAUCUUUUCACCUUGCGCGAUUGAAUGCGCCGAUGUUGGAUUAGCUAGUUGGCGGGGUAAAGACCAAGCAAGGCGACGAUCCGUUGCCUGUCUGCGAGGAUGAUCGGCCACCCUGGAACUGGGACACGGUCAAGACUCCUGAGAGAGGCAGCAGUGGGCAAUAUUAGACAGUGGUCGCAAGCCUGACCCAGCCGUCCCGAGCGGGUUAAGACAGCCUUCCGGUUGUAAAGACCUUUUGUUGGUAGAGAAAAGCUGCCGCUUAUUACGAAGCUGUUGUGACGGUAACCAAAGAAUAAGCACCGGCUAACUUCGUG